rnacentral:lncRNA from 1 species
CUGUUGUUGCAGAACCUCUCCUAGAGAAAAGCAAAAAGCAUACUCUGAAAAGUGUCAGAAAUUAAUCUUCCUAGUGGGUAGCGACUGGGUAUGGCUUCUCUUCUUGAGUUCCUAGCAUCUGGUGUAAAGUAGUCAUCAAAAAUACAGAUGGAUUAAUAUAUAUGAAUGAAUAUAUGGAAAAGUGAUGUUUGAGCUGGGUCUCUUAGCACCUAUCAGUUGAUGCAGACUGAAUAGGAGAAAUGUUCCUAGAAACUGAGACUAACAAGGAGGUGACUGUGAUACUUUUGUCAAGAUAUGAUAAGGGCCUGCAUCANCACAGGGAGCCUUCACAAGCAUGUCAGGAGACCAUAUGAGCAGGUAAACAGGUCAGGACUUUGUGAACUGCUGUAUAGGGUUAGAAGCAAGGGAGAGAGAGAAGCGGUCAUUUCUGGGAUGAAGGUGCCCUUUGUAGAGACAGGAGGUAUAGGGCAAGCACUUUUGCGGGAGGAAAGAUAAGAGUUUGGUUUUGAACUCUUAAAAUUUGAAGUGCUGGUAGAUCCAGGUGGAGCUGUCCAGCAGACACUUGGAAAUAUGAGUCUGAGACAUGGUUGGAAAUAGAGAUUUGGAAGGAUAGUUAAGCCAAAAGAAUGGAUGAGACCUUGAAGCAAAAAAGUGGAGAGUAGAAUGAGAAGACAGCUAGGUUUGAAAACAAGGUGAACACUUUUUUUAAUGGAUCAAAAACAAGAGGGGGGCCUCUUGAAGAAAACCGAAAAGGACUUAGGCAAUAGGAGACCUCAGAAAAUGCUGAAGCCAAAUAAAAGACUCAAAAAGGAGGCACAGUGUCAGAUGCUGCAGCGAAAUAAGAAUUGAAAAUUAUCCUUUGAAUUUUGACACAAAAAGUGUUUUAAGUGAGGUGGUGAGGUCAGAAGUGGAUUGACUGAAUUCAAGCGUGGGCUGUAAGAAAGUGGAGACAGGUGCUUCCCAGCCCGUAGGUAGAGCUCAGUAGAUGCACUUAAGUUGAGACGGUGACAUCUUCCAGGGUAGGCAGGGUCUCUUUCAUAUCUCUGGUCUCAGCGCCCAGUACUCGGCCUGGAAGAGAGGGUGGCGUCAGUGAGUUCAGUGACUAGGGACGGAGAAAGGCUUCGCGGAGGCAGUCGCUUUGCAGCCGAGGCUUGAAGGAUGAGGGUGAUUGGGAGGAGAGGUGGGAGGCAGGGCCCCUGGGUGAUGGGGCUCUCGGAGUGUGUGAGGGU